GUUCCUAGUCCACUGCCUGCCGCCAAAUGGGGCCCUCCAAGGGCCGGGCAGGGGGUCAGAGCAUCCUUCCUUUGUUUUCCAAGUGAGCACUUCGUCUCGUCAGGUGGCUGCGCUCCCCUGAGGGUCGAGGCAGUAAAACUCGCGGCGGAACCUGGCUGGGACGUUGGCUCGAUUCGACCACAAGGGCUUGGAAGCGACCUGGAGGAGCGAGCGGUUUUCCUUAUUGGUCUUGCCACACAACUGAACUGAGCAGAAGCAUCACUGGAAACAGCCCCAGGUGCCUCCCAGCGGCUUAUUCUCGUUUCUGAGCACACCCCACCUUCUUGGAGCUGUGAGACCCCCCCAUGCCCAGGUCCCAGAAGGCAAGCGCGGGCCAAGGAGGCAUGCACAGCCCUUGUGGGUCUGGGCCUCGCAAUGGAGCUAACAUUCUUUUUUAUCAACUAUGCAUUUUCCAGACCAUGAGCAAGCAGCGUCUGGGCCCGGAGAACCGGCUUCCUUUUUUAAGAGACGAUGUGGAACCCUUUCUCGGUUGUGGUUUAUGGUUCGUAUUUAAUUUGUUGGGAGGUGUUUUUUUUAAAUGAAUUUCCAACAGAAGUCUUCCUGUGCGACAAAGGAUUCCCGCAGAGCAGAGCGAGGGCAGCUCCCGGCUGCCCCGGCACGCACGCCAACCGGCCUGGGCGGCUCGAUCCAACGCAGGGGAGGUGCUGUGCCUGGGACGAGUUCCUCUCAGCAUUUGGAAGAAGGGGAAACCUCUGAAGCUUGCAAAGCCCGGCGCCCGGGGCGGGAUCGUCCUGCACAAGCAAUAAUAACCCAACCCGACAGUCCCUUCCGGCCGUACGGGUCUGUGCAGGCACGAAUGCCACCCCAUUGGCGCUGAGCGGUAUUUCACCAAAGCACGCUGGCGUUCGAAGCCAGAGACCAGGCUGCUGGUUGUGACGGCAGCAGAAAGGGGAAGCGCAGCCCCUGUGAGUUAUGGCCAGGCCUCCGAAGGCUCCGAGCCUAGCUAGCUGGCUCGCGUGUAUGCGUCUCUCCCGGGCUACACAGGGCUCUCGUGUGCAUUCGCACAGGCUACCUGCUUUUAGGCUGGGCCUGGCAGCAAAUUCUGCCAUGUUGGCAGGAGGCUGGGAGCUCUUCCGGGGGAGAGCCCGUCCCUACAUCUCGAGAGGCGCGGACAAAAUCUCCACGGGAGACUCCACCACGCAGCGCAGCCAAUGGUUGCUCCCUCCCAGGCUCACUGAGGGAAGAGGGGAUGGAGGACUGGCGCCCAUCUCUUCAUUUGUUUUGAAAUCAUGUCAUUUCCACUUUUUUUUUAAAUGGAAGAAUAAAGACGUCAAAUCUUUUAGAGCAAAUUUGCAAACCUGGGUACUCCCCACUGAGGCAGCUACACCCCCCGAGCCAGGGGCUGUGCAUGGCACUGGGGAAUCUCCGCUCGCUCUGUUGCUGCAGAUGCAGCACUACAACUCAUCUGGCCCAUUAUAUGUGCAUUGCAGUAUGCAGACCUUGCACAAUCAUUUUCACAAGCAUGGGCCCGUGCAAACCAUUCCUAAGGGCAGCAGGAGUCACCGUGAACGGGACUGGGGGGUCAGGCGCCCUGGGUUGUUGGUGGGUGACCUUGGUGAACGCGUGUCCCCUCUGUAUAUGUGUGUCAGUUCUGCCUCUGGGACCCAGGGAUCAUGCCACGUAUCUGGGAGAAGCAGAACUGCUUGCAUGUUUGGGACUGAAUUUUGUAAUGGCUGUUGGAGAAAACCAAAGAUCGUGGCUUGUCUGUGCCUCGCGGGCACAAUAACAGGACAACAGGUCUCCUCGGGCCAUCGCCUCCGUCCAGGAGCUGAAGUGCGGAGUGGUGUUAUCAGUACAUUCAGCCCCAUGAAUGGCUCCUGGAGGAGGUGUUAACAAAGCCCAUGAUAAAUUGUAGGCAUAAAUAUACAUGCAAAUGAACACACAUGCGUGGCAUACAGAUACCAGCCCCUGUGCGAGUGCCCGCUCCUAUCCCAGCUGCUCUGUAUCAAGGACCUCAGGAAACUCUAUCCUUCCCCCCCGCCCACCAUCACGGACUUGCUCUGCCAGCGUUCCCACGAGAGAUGUUGGUUUCUUGGCUCCCCUGGUGGAUUAAAACAGGUCUCGGAUGCUGAGGCGCCCCCCAGGAAGGGGACUGGGAGGCCUGACGCCUCUCCCCUGGGGCAGGUGGGCGGCUUUUUGGGGGGCCCCCCUUUAUUUUCACGGGAUUUUUCCCUCUCCCCUUCCUCUUAAGCCCUUAUGUGUUCACUCUGGGUGCUGCGUCCCCUCAGGCAGCGGCAGCAGGGCUAGGCCGUGCCAUACACGCCUGCCCGGCAGCAGCUACCCCAGCGGCAAGGCCUGGGCAUGGGAAGGUGUCAAGGCUGGAUCCCCACUUUGAACUUUAGGGUACAAAUGUAGGGGCCUGCAUGAAAACUUCUAAGCUU
ensembl:lncRNA